UUGAACGCUGGCGGCAUGCUUUACACAUGCAAGUCGAACGGUAACAGGUCUUCGGAUGCUGACGAGUGGCGAACGGGUGAGUAAUGCAUCGGAACGUGCCCAGUCGUGGGGGAUAACGCAGCGAAAGCUGUGCUAAUACCGCAUACGAUCUAUGGAUGAAAGCGGGGGAUCGCAAGACCUCGCGCGAUUGGAGCGGCCGAUGUCAGAUUAGCUAGUUGGUGGGGUAAAGGCCCACCAAGGCGACGAUCUGUAGCUGGUCUGAGAGGACGACCAGCCACACUGGGACUGAGACACGGCCCAGACUCCUACGGGAGGCAGCAGUGGGGAAUUUUGGACAAUGGGCGCAAGCCUGAUCCAGCGAUGCCGCGUGCAGGAAGAAGGCCUUCGGGUUGUAAACUGCUUUUGUCAGGGAAGAAACGCUCUGGGCUAAUACCCCGGGGUAAUGACGGUACCUGAAGAAUAAGCACCGGCUAACUACGU
rnacentral:rRNA from 1 species